UACGGGGGGUGCAAGUGUUAAUCGGAAUUACUGGGCGUAAAGCGUGCGCAGGCGGUUUUAUAAGUCAGAUGUGAAAUCCCCGGGCUUAACCUGGGAACUGCAUUUGUGACUGGCGAGCUAGAGUAUGGCAGAGGGGGGUAGAAUUCCACGUGUAGCAGUGAAAUGCGUAGAGAUGUGGAGGAAUACCGAUGGCGAAGGCAGCCCCCUGGGCCAACACUGACGCUCAUGCACGAAAGCGUGGGGAGCAAACAGG
rnacentral:rRNA from 1 species